UACAGAGGGGGCCAGCGUUAUUCGGAAUUAUUGGGCGUAAAGAGCUCGUAGGCGGUUUGUCGCGUCUGCUGUGAAAACCCGAGGCUCAACCUCGGGCCUGCAGUGGGUACGGGCAGACUAGAGUGCGGUAGGGGAGAUUGGAAUUCCUGGUGUAGCGGUGGAAUGCGCAGAUAUCAGGAGGAACACCAAUGGCGAAGGCAGAUCUCUGGGCCGUAACUGACGCUGAGGAGCGAAAGCAUGGGGAGCGAACAGG
rnacentral:rRNA from 1 species